rnacentral:rRNA from 1 species
AGCAGCCGCGGUAAUUCCAGCUCCAAUAGCGUAUAUUAAAGUUGUUGCAGUUAAAAAGCUCGUAGUUGAACUUCGGGGUCUACCCAUUGGUCAGGCUUAAUUGUCUGCACUGGUGAGAUAGAUCUCUACCUUCUGAGGAACUUUCAUGCCAUUUAUUUGGUGUGGUUGGAAAUCAGGACUGUUACUUUGAAAAAAUUAGAGUGUUUAAAGCAGACUAUCGUCUGAAUACAUUAGCAUGGAAUAAUGAAAUAGGACGGACUGAUUCUAUUUCGUUGGUUUCUAGGAUCACCGUAAUGAUUAAUAGGGAUAGUUGGGGGCAUUAGUAUUCAAUUGUCAGAGGUGAAAUUCUUGGAUUUAUUGAAGACUAACUACUGCGAAAGCAUUUGCCAAGGAUGUUUUUCAUUU